GCGGCCGUAGUCUAGCCUGGUCUAGGAUGGCGGCCUGCCGAGCCAUCCCGGCGGCCGCACCA
rnacentral:tRNA from 1 species